CCUACGGGUGGCAGCAGUGAGGAAUAUUGGUCAAUGGACGGAAGUCUGAACCAGCCAUGCCGCGUGAAGGUCAGUGCCCUAUGGGCGUUAAACUUCUUUUGUGCGGGAGCAAUAAUGGUCACGUGUGGCCAGACGAGAGUACCGUACGAAUAAGCAUCGGCUAACUCCGUGCCAGCAGCCGCGGUAAUACGGGGGAUGCAAGCGUUAUCCGGAUUUAUUGGGUUUAAAGGGUGCGUAGGGUGUGAGGUAAGUCAGCGGGGAAAUGCCCCCGCGCAACGGGGUGAAGUGCCAUUGAUACUGGCGUGCUGGAAUGCGGAUGCGGUGGGAGGAAUGUGUGGUGUAGCGGUGAAAUGCAUAGAUAUCACACAGAACACCGAUUGCGAAGGCAUCUCACGAAUCCGUGAUUGACGCUGAUGCACGAAAGCGUGGGUAUCAAACAGGAUUAGAUACCCGAGUAGUC
rnacentral:rRNA from 1 species